rnacentral:lncRNA from 1 species
AAGGAGAAACCGGGAAUCUGAGACUGACUGUGACUUAAUGGUUCGCGUGAGGUGUCGCCACGAUCCUCCUCCAGUGCUUAUUUUGAGCCACCUUCUCGCUCUGAGAAGACUUCCCCGUGAUAAAAUGAGGUGUCCCGUUUGUAGCAGGAGAAAAAGUUUAUUGUGUUUUCUGCAAGACCUCCAGCAUCUGCGGUGGAUCUUUGGCUUUGCACAUCUUGCCCGUCCUGAGUUUCUGUGCCUAAAGAUGCCUUCAUGUCAGACGUCUUCCGUACAGCACUCAGAAUAGUGAUGCAGUGCUGAAAUCAGUGUGUCCGUGGUGGAUCAUCCGCCUGCCUGCUGAAGUGCUGGGAAUUCAUGACCUUCUGUUUGUUUCUGUCUCCUGGAAAUGAGUGUGUAGUGUGUUGCGAGACAAAUGAUGAGAACUCAUAAAAAUGCUAAAAUAUCUGUCUCUGCAGACAGAAGCCACUUUUCACAGACUUCUGGAAAGUGCUGAAAUGAAAACCUGACUCAGUGCAGGUGAGAAUGAGUUAGACAUCCACUGGCAUGAACAUGUGAUUUUAGUAUCAACUAUUACUGAUGUUAUCAUUUGAUUCCUUCCUGAGGAGGUCUUACAGUUCAGGACAACCUAUAUUUCAUCCAUAUUUUUCCAGAUCUAAAUUCUGUUUCAGAAGGCUUCUCAGGCAUAUCACAGAAUCACAGAAUUGUUGGAGUUGGAAGGGACCUCUAGAGAUCAUCUAGUCCAACUCCCCUGCUGAAGCAGGAUUGCCCAGAGCACAUUACUCAGGACUGCAUCCAGGCAGGUUCGAAAAUCUCCAGAGAAGGGGACUCCACAACCUCCCUGGGCAGCCUGUUCCAGGGCUCUGUCACCCUCACCAUAAAGAAGUUCUUCCUCAUAUUUGAAUGGAACUUCCUAUGUUCCAGCUUGUGCCCAUUGCCCCUCGUCCUAUCGCUGGAAACCACUGAAAAGAGUCCAGCUCCAUCAUCCUUCAACCCACCCUUUAGGAACUUGUAAACGUAGAUAAGGUCUCCCCUCAGUCUUCUCCAGGCUAAAGAGCCCCAGCUCUUUGAGCCUUUCCUCAUAAGGGAGGUGCUCCAAUCCCUUAAUCAUCUUAGUUGCCCUGCGUUGGACUCUCUCCAGUACUUAUCUUUGUUCAUGUAAGUAGUCUUACUCACAUGAGACCCUGCUAAAUCUGAGUCAAAUGUUCAGACAGCUUUGAUAAAACUCUGCUGGGCAAUGAACUUGUAUACUUUUAAGUUCUAAGAGGACUUUGAAAAUGUGAGAAACA